rnacentral:rRNA from 1 species
UACGUAGGUGGCGAGCGUUGUCCGGAUUUACUGGGCGUAAAGAGCGCGCAGGCGGUCGUACAAGUCGCGUGUGAAAGCCCCCCGGCUCAACUGGGGAGGGUCACGCGAUACUGUUCGACUCGAAGGCAGGAGAGGGAAGUGGAAUUCCCGGUGUAGUGGUGAAAUGCGUAGAUAUCGGGAGGAACACCAGUGGCGAAGGCGACUUCCUGGCCUGUUCUUGACGCUGAGGCGCGAAAGCUAGGGUAGCAAACGGG